AUAAGGGUACACCUCUGGUCAGCCUUGCCUGUGCGCUCUACCACUUUGUCUAGAUUGUCGCCUUUCUUGUCGCAAGCUGACCUCCUUUCCCACUAUUCCUUCCCCUGAAAUUAAUCUCUUCCCAGUUCCUGGCCAACCCCUGUCCUUACCAAGCUUUCAAAUUAACGUAAACCUCUCUCCCCCACGCUGGGCUAAUUCUUCCACUUUCUCAGACCAAUGUUUGCACUUUCCUUGGGCCUGAGCCUCCCCUUGCCCAAAGCUAACCCUCGUCCUGUCCCGUGCUAACUCUACAGCCCCCACAUUUCAUUCUAACUUUCCUUCCCCCAUUCUGCCUCCUCAAUGUCUUUACUCCAGUUAUGUCUUCCCUAUCUCUCUCCUUUGCAUUUUCAAUCUCUUAUUUCUUCUGAUGCCUUCCAUUAGUAUCUAAAAUGCUUUUGUUUUGCUCAUUUUAAAAUUGCGUACUGCUUCGAAGUAAUCUGAAGUGGGGGGAGGUGUGGUUGGGAAGUUUAUGGAAACUCUGACGGCCAAGAAUGAUCAUUGUAGAAGCCGGAUGACGGGCUGUACAGAGCCCAGACCUGGGCACUGGGGGGAGCUGAGCUGGACACCAAUCCCAUCGAGACCCCAGGACAAGGUAGAAGCAGCUGAGGGAGUACCAGGGACCCCGGACAACAAUGUCCCCAGGGCUGAAAAUGCAGCGGUGAGUGCCAUGCUGCACGCCGUGGCUGCCAGCCGCCUGCCUGUGUGCAGCCAGCAACAGGGUGAGCCUGAUCUGACGGAACGGGAGAAGGUGGCCAUCCUAGGCCAGCUGUACCACGAGAAGCCAUUGGUGUUCCUGGAGCGCUUCCGCACAGGCCUCAGAGAGGAGCACCUGGCCUGCUUUGGCCACCUACGUGGCGACCACCGUGCAGACUUCUACUGUGCUGAGGUGGCCCGGCAGGGUACUGCCCGGCCCCGAACUCUGCGUACCCGACUGCGUAACCGGCGCUAUGCUGCCCUUCGAGAGCUGAUCCAAGGGGGCGAGUACUUCAGUGACGAGCAGAUGCGGUUCCGGGCUCCGCUGCUAUAUGAGCAGUACAUUGGGCAGUAUCUCACUCAGGAGGAGCUCAAUGCCAGGGCCCCAACCCACCAGCUCCCCAAGCCCAGCUGCACUGGCAGACCUGCCUGCCCGCUCUCUGACCUACUGCUCCAGUCCUACCAGGAGAGAGAGCUGCAGCAACGGCUGCUCCAGCAGCAGGAGGAGGAGGAGGCCUGCUUAGAGGAAGAGGAGGAAGAGGAAGAUAGCGAUGAGGAAGACCAGGGGUCAGGCAAAGAUUCAGAGGCCUGGAUUCCUGACUCGGAGGAGAGGCUUAUCUUGCGGGAGGAAUUCACCAGCCGGAUGCACCAGCGCUUCCUGGACGGCAAGGACGGAGACUUCGACUACAGAUCCAAGUUGUGACAAUUGAAAUGUCAAAAUACCUUGAAGGGCAAAACCACCCACUUGAGAACUGCCUGCCUCAGGAAGCACAGUGGACGACAAUCCUGACUUCGACAACUUGGACAUCGUGGCUCGGGAUGAGGAAGAGAGGUACUUUGAUGAGGAGGAGCCUGAGGAUGCGCCUAGCCCAGAGCUGGAUGGGGACUGAUAGCCACCACCCUCCUGCUAGCCACCUGCCCUGUCCCUCAUCCCAACAAGGCAGCUGAUCACAGGCCGGCUCAGUGACUCUUUCUCUAGGGGACACCAGGGCAGCACCUGCCCACACCAGCCUCACUGGGUCUUGUCUCAUCUCAGACAACGCCCCCCUCCUGGGGUUCCCUACCUUUCUUCCUCUCCCUAUUGUUCCCUGCAUCAAUCAUACUUGCUGUCUGAGUUUCUCCCCCUAUCCGUAUCUCACUGCCCUACCCCCUUUCUCCCUCUCUGCCUUAGGCUGUGUCCCCACGGCAGGCCUUUUGUGCAAUGAGCUGGCCAUGUCAAUUGCAGUGCAGGCUUAGGCUAGGUGGCACCUGACCCGAGCACCUCUGCCUUUCCCUGCCGCUCUCUGGGGGCUGUCUUGUGCUCAGUACUUCUUUCCUGUCUCUCCUUCCACUUUACCCUGGGCCUCUUGUUCUUUCUACCUGUAUAUCUCUACUCUCUCAGCUCUGUGCUGUUAUUGCCUCCCUCUCUGUCUCUCAGCCUUUAUCUGGGCUUGUCCCCCCACUCCACACCCUGAGUCCUUUCUUCCCCAUCUUCCAAGCCUGGAUGCUAUGGGCAGCAGAACACUGACUGCUGAGCGGUGUGGCUACAUGGGCAGAGGGAGAUCUUGGGUGACCACCAGCACCCACAUCUCCCUUAGGACCCAGGCUGGGGAGGGCUGGGCAUGGCUGCAGAACUGGGGAUAAUUGGGCCUGCCAGAUUGGGCAUGGAGGGUAUUGGAAGGGGGGACUUCCCAUCCCUCCCAGCCCCCUUCUGCCCAGCCACAAUUUUCCUUUCCUUCACUUCCUCCGCCUCCCUCUCCUGUUUACACUCCCCAAAUACGCACAGGCUGUUAUCAUGGAUCCUGAGUCAUCUGACACACACACACACAUACACACAUACCCUGUCCCAGCGUCCCUGCCCCCAGCCAGCCACAGGGCCCGCCCCACAGAGCCCCCUGCCGCCCUGGGCUAAUGGGAGCCAGAUGGCUGCCUGGUGACUCAGCCACGGGCCUGUGGGAACCCAGGCAUCCCGCCUUCCCAUGCCCCCACACCCAGCUCGUGCUCCCCCAGCAGACACACAUAGACUGGCCACUGGGGGCAGGGCACAGGCCAGACAGGCCAGCAAGGGGGAGCCUGGGGACCCCUCGCUCUUAUGAGUUGUGGCAGGCAUUCCACUCUGGCUGAGCCUAAAGGAGCCUCAAAACUGCCUCCUGAAGCCAUGUAGUUCCUAACCUCAGGGCUCAUCUCUGCCCUCUGGGUCAGCCAGGAUUAUGGAAAGUGAGAGCUGGACAGAGGCACAGAGCGAUUCUAACUGAGCAGCUAUUAAAUAAUGAAAGCUCUGGCUACUGUGCAGUCCUGUCCUCUGGCAGGUAUGAGUGAAGUGCCUGACACCAAACAGCCCCAGGAACUGGGGCCUAUUAGCUCCACUUCACAGAUGGGCUAAGGAGUCCCAGCAAGGAGUUGGGACUUACUCAACACCACUCGGCCAUCUCAGCAGAACUGAGAUGGGAACUCAGGUCCUAGAAAACACUCUGCUAUCCAGCCGGUCAGGUGUUAAGGCUGACAUCUCUAACAAAGGCUAAUGCUUUUGGGGCUGGCCCCACAUGCUGGCCACCGCACACACAGCAGUGUUUGAAUCUUUGGCAACACUGGGUCAGCAGGGUAGCCCCAUGUGGUAGGUACUGCUGUGUGACUGUCCCAUCUCCCAGGGAAAGAGCAAUAAGGUCCAAGAUAAUCCAGCCAGCUAGAACCCAGGAGUGUUGGGGUCACACCAUUUGGAAAGAUGAGAACAAGAAAUGAGAAGUGUUUGUCUCUUGGGCGGCGCCUGUGGUUCAGUGAAUAGGGCACCAGCCCCAUACACUGAGGGCUCGAACUCAGCCCCGGUCAAACUACAACAAAAAAUAGCCAGGCGUUGUGGUGGGCAGUAGUCCCAGCUACUCAGGAGGCUGAGGCAAGAGGAUCUCCUAAGCCCAAGAGCUAGAGGGUGCUGUGAGCACUCUACCAAGGAUGACAAAGUGAGGCUCUGUCUCUUAAAAAAAAAAAAAAAAGAGAGAGAAAUGUUUGUCUCUUAGGUUCUUGUGAGAAUUCUUUCCUGGUACAGGGAUCAGCCCUUGGUGAUGCACAUUUUUGACCAGUCUAUCAUUUGGUCAUUAAAUUUGUUUAUAAUGUC